rnacentral:ncRNA from 1 species
CAGAGUAGAUGACCGUGCGUCAUAUACCGGUAAGGGAAGAUCUUCCGGUAUCAGUGUCCCGAUAACGGGGAGUUGUGUCGGGGACGAAACAUACGAAGCCAAAGGGCUUGUAUUGCGGUUCGGUCAUUGCAUCCCGCU